rnacentral:rRNA from 1 species
GACAGAGGAUGCAAGCGUUAUCCGGAAUGAUUGGGCGUAAAGCGUCUGUAGGUGGCUUUUAAGUCCGCCGUCAAAUCCCAGGGCUCAACCCUGGACAGGCGGUGGAAACUACCAAGCUGGAGUACGGUAGGGGCAGAGGGAAUUUCCGGUGGAGCGGUGAAAUGCGUAGAGAUCGGAAAAGAACACCAACGGCGAAAGCACUCUGCUGGGGCCGAACACUGACACUGAGAGACGAAAGCUAGGGGGAGCGA